rnacentral:rRNA from 1 species
GAUGAACGCUAGCUACAGGCUUAACACAUGCAAGUCGAGGGGCAGCAUGGUCUUAGCUUGCUAAGGCCGAUGGCGACCGGCGCACGGGUGAGUAACACGUAUCCAACCUGCCGUCUACUCUUGGACAGCCUUCUGAAAGGAAGAUUAAUACAAGAUGGCAUCAUGAGUCCACAUGUUCACAUGAUUAAAGGUAUUCCGGUAGACGAUGGGGAUGCGUUCCAUUAGAUAGUAGGCGGGGUAACGGCCCACCUAGUCUUCGAUGGAUAGGGGUUCUGAGAGGAAGGUCCCCCACAUUGGAACUGAGACACGGUCCAAACUCCUACGGGAGGCAGCAGUGAGGAAUAUUGGUCAAUGGGCGAGAGCCUGAACCAGCCAAGUAGCGUGAAGGAUGACUGCCCUAUGGGUUGUAAACUUCUUUUAUAAAGGAAUAAAGUCGGGUAUGCAUACCCGUUUGCAUGUACUUUAUGAAUAAGGAUCGGCUAACUCCGUGCCAGCAGCCGCGGUAAUACGGAGGAUCCGAGCGUUAUCCGGAUUUAUUGGGUUUAAAGGGAGCGUAGAUGGAUGUUUAAGUCAGUUGUGAAAGUUUGCGGCUCAACCGUAAAAUUGCAGUUGAUACUGGAUAUCUUGAGUGCAGUUGAGGCAGGCGGAAUUCGUGGUGUAGCGGUGAAAUGCUUAGAUAUCACGAAGAACUCCGAUUGCGAAGGCAGCCUGCUAAGCUGCAACUGACAUUGAGGCUCGAAAGUGUGGGUAUCAAACAGGAUUAGAUACCCUGGUAGUCCACACGGUAAACGAUGAAUACUCGCUGUUUGCGAUAUACAGCAAGCGGCCAAGCGAAAGCGUUAAGUAUUCCACCUGGGGAGUACGCCGGCAACGGUGAAACUCAAAGGAAUUGACGGGGGCCCGCACAAGCGGAGGAACAUGUGGUUUAAUUCGAUGAUACGCGAGGAACCUUACCCGGGCUUAAAUUGCAGAUGAAUUACGGUGAAAGCCGUAAGCCGCAAGGCAUCUGUGAAGGUGCUGCAUGGUUGUCGUCAGCUCGUGCCGUGAGGUGUCGGCUUAAGUGCCAUAACGAGCGCAACCCUUGUUGUCAGUUACUAACAGGUCAUGCUGAGGACUCUGACAAGACUGCCAUCGUAAGAUGUGAGGAAGGUGGGGAUGACGUCAAAUCAGCACGGCCCUUACGUCCGGGGCUACACACGUGUUACAAUGGGGGGUACAGAGGGCCGCUACCACGCGAGUGGAUGCCAAUCCCAAAAACCUCUCUCAGUUCGGACUGGAGUCUGCAACCCGACUCCACGAAGCUGGAUUCGCUAGUAAUCGCGCAUCAGCCACGGCGCGGUGAAUACGUUCCCGGGCCUUGUACACACCGCCCGUCAAGCCAUGGGAGCCGGGGGUACCUGAAGUGCGUAACCGCGAGGAGCGCCCUAGGGUAAAACUGGUG